GAGGGUAUAGCUUAGUGGUAGAGCAUGUGCUUAGCAUGCAUGAGGUCUUGGGUUCAAUCCCCAUUACCUCCA
rnacentral:tRNA from 1 species